rnacentral:lncRNA from 1 species
UGCACAUCCAUUACAGGAAAACCGGAUGAACCUGUCCAGAGUGGCUUUUGUGGCUGGAUGCUUUCUGACUGCGGGGAGCCUUCUAGGCUCUGGAUUGUGCUAGAAUGUGCCUAUUGGAAAAGUGGGCAGGUUGGCCUCGGGAUGCUAAGAGAAAAGUACACCUCUGCACGGAGGGCCAGGGGAGAGCUACGGAGGAACGACUUCCAACUGAGAGAUGGUAAUAUGGGAGUUUUCAUCAGCCCUGCCCUGCACUUCUGCCACCCCACCCCCCCAAGCCUGUUUAGCCUGUGGGGCACUGCAUCAGAUGCAAGGUGCAGGACAAAAAGCAUCCUCUUGUUCAGCAGACCGAUGAGCCGUGAAUUGGAACAAUGGAGGAAGGGGGAUGUGGUUUCCCUCAGCCAGAGAUCUUGUUGCCACUCUCCCUGCCACCCUCGACACCCCCUCACAAGAUGUGCCAAUUUUAAUUCUAAUACUGAAGGUAGACACGGAGCAGGCAACUGGCAUCGGUU